CCACCUUGGCCUCCCAGAGUACUGGGAUUACAGGCCUGAGCCACUGCAACAAGCCUGAAAUUGAUAAAUUAAAUGCAGUAUAUUCAUAUACUAGAAAAAUACCCCCUAGCUGUUAUAAGGAAGGAAAUAUAUCUAUGCACAUUGUCAUUGUGAUCAGUAUCAUCACCAUCAUCCUCUUCCUGUUUACAUGCCUAGCUCCUACCGUGGCUGGACACACAGUGUGCAUGUGCUCUCCAUAAAGACCCAGCUAUGGGUUGGCCCCAGAUCACCCACUAUACUUUGAAGAGUCUGAGAACCAAUGCCAACCUUGAUGUCCAUUCAGAAAUCAUUGUUGACGGAUGAAUUUCUUAUGAGCUCAAUUUCCUGACCCAGCCAGUUCUCUCAUUGCAUCUUGUGUGCAGGAAAGAAUUAAGCCCACACACACAGGACAGCAGAGCUGUGAGAACAGAGGGAAAUGGACCUGGAGUCUCCUGAUCAAGCUGGCCCCAAAGCUGAUGAUCUCGCAGAGUUCCACGUUGCUUAAGUUUGUUUUAGACUCUCUGAUGCUUAUGGCUUCAGGCGUCUCCACUGCUAUGUUGAACAUGAAAGAACUGCUACCUCAUCAUUGUCCUUCCCUUCAAGGCCAAGCAGCUCAACCACCCAUCUGUGCUCCUUGUCCCCAUCUCCUAACAUCUCCAGCCUCCUGAAGUCAGGCCUCCAGCCUCAACCACCGCAAUGGAAGCAUUCUCUUAAAAAUGGCACUAAUCCCCAACUACUAUAUCCAAUGGAUCUUUUUCUAAUCAUGCUCCUACCUGUACUCUCUGCCACACAUUAUAUGGUUCCCUUGGUUUUUCCUGCUCCUUAGGCUGCCGGGAUGGCACUCCUUCUAGGCUGUCCUCCAGUCUCUCUGACAUUCUUUCUCUUUCUCUGACUAUCCCUGAGAAGUUGGGGUUCUCUAUAAUACACCUGUGGCCCUCCUCUCUUCUCAUCCUAGGUACCCAAGCUAGUGACUUCAUCUAAUCCCAUGUGUGCAGGAAAGGGCGCAUUCCAAGAGGUCUGAGAUCUUCAAAUUCUGUGCAUUCCAAGAAAGAUCUGCCCCUUGCCUGGCUCCUGGGAGUAAACCUCUAAACCCUGCCCUGGGAGUUCUCUGCCAGAUUAGAGUGUCUAUUUCCUGGGGCCUUGAGCCAGACAGCUUAUGUGGACAGUGUAAUUUAUGGUGUUGGGGAAGGGUGGUCUUGGGCCAUGUGGUACACAGCUGACCUUUGCAGGCGCUGGAGGCUGAGUGGCCAUAGUCAGUUACCUGGGAACCGCAUGCCUAUGUGACCGACCUCCAAUAAAUGCCCUGGACACCAAGGCUCUGGUGAGAUUCCCUGGUUGCCAGUCCUCCCAUGUGUGUUGUCACACGUCAUUACCAGGAGAAGAAAAGUACCAUCUGCUCCAAUACCCUGGGAGGGACCACUGGGAGCUCACGCCUGGUCCCCCCUGGACUCUGCUCUUGCAGCUUUUGCCUGUGCUGGGUUUUGUCUCCUCCUGUCAUUGUAACAAACCAUACCCAUGAGGACCACAGCUUUUCUGAGUUCUGUGAGUCCUUCUAGUGAAGGGCUGAGACUGAGGGUGGUCUCAGGGGUCCCCAACACAGCACACCAUGUCAUCAUCAGCACACUGGUGACUCGUAAAUGCAUACUUUUUUCCACACGUCUCCUGAACACCAGCUCUACACAGACAUUACAACCAGGAUGUCUCAGUAGCACCACAGACGCAAACUGUCCCACGUUGAUCUUAUGUUCUGCUCCAAACUCAUUCCUUACCAUGCUUUUCUGCAAGCCCCGCCAGCCCAGUCUAAGAUCUGGCAGCAUCUUGCCCUCCUGCCCUCUUGCCCUCCUGUCCUCCUGCCCUCCUGCCCUCCCGCUCCUCCCUCCGUCACCGUAGGUGCUGUGAUGGACCCUCCAGGUCUGUCCUGCUCUCCGGCCACUGCUCCUGGGUUUGGGCCCGCACAACACCUGGCCCUGCAGUCCAUACUCUCUGGAAAGGUCUCCCUACACCCGGGCCGCACCCCUCCAACUAUCCCAACUACACGCAACACAAAACUUUUGAAUUAUUAUUAUUACAGCCC